rnacentral:tRNA from 1 species
AGGAACAUGAUGUAACUGGCAGCAUAAUGAUCUCCAAAAUCAUUCGUCUAAGUUCAAAUCUUAGUGUUCCUGCCA